GCCUGGAUGGCUCAGUUGGAAGAGCAUGAGACUCUUGAUCUUUGGGUUGUGGGUUUGAGCCCCAUGUUAGGUG
rnacentral:tRNA from 1 species